AACCCGACUCCACGAAGUUGGAUUCGCUAGUAAUCGCGCAUCAGCCAUGGCGCGGUGAAUACGUUCCCGGGCCUUGUACACACCGCCCGUCAAGCCAUGGGAGCCGGGGGCGCCUGGAGUCCGGGACCGCGAGGACCGGCCUAGGGCGAAACUGGUAACUGGGGCUAAGUCGUAACAAGGUAAC
rnacentral:rRNA from 1 species